rnacentral:lncRNA from 1 species
CCUUUCGCCUUCCUUCAUGUGAAACAGUUCAUAUGCAUGGGUUGGAAAAUCAACUUUAGGCUCUCUUACCUGGUCCGUACCUUCGUACAUGAUUUCCAGCUUAUCCCACGUUUGCUUCGCCGUUGUGCAACAUGAUAUUUUUUUGUAAUCAUCAGCGUUUACAGCACAAUAUAAUAAGUUGAUGGCUUUAGCAUUAUUCUGCACUUUUCGGAUAUCAUCCGCAUCGUAUUCAUCUUCGGAUUUUGGAACCCAUUCAUUUUCAACCUUUUUGGUUGGAAUUUGUUCUCCCU